ACAUCCUAUUAUUUCAAUAACAAUGAGAUCAAAAUAUUUUCGUUCACCAUGUACUUGUAAAAAAACUUCAAAUUCGUAUGGCUACACCAGGUCUUCAAACGGUCUGAUCCGCAGUUAUACCCAGAUAACUAUUGAAUAGUAAAGAGUUAUUCGCACACUGCUUAUGGAAUUGAUUUCUGAUAUUUUCAUUCAUGAACCAGAGAAAACGGUCAGAAGUGAGACACGAAGUCUCUUGACACGAAAGCAUGAAAGCCAUUUAACCAUCACUUGUGAUGAUAUGAAAGAAAAGAUGUCACCACGAGAAUUGAAUUUUGAACGAAACGUAUCGGUUACUGUAAAAUUUAUAUUUCAAUAAACAGUGGUACCCAGUAUUGCACGUAUACCACGCGGAUCAGAAAAUCCUGUAUUGCAGUGUCUACGGACUUCUCUAGUCACUAAACUCAUUUUUAGAGACAACGCGAAUGUCGGAGAACAAUUGUGUCUAAUAGAUCAUUAGGUUCCGUUUACCCCCAUGUACUCGAAACCACCACUAAUAGAGGAUAUCCUGGACCGUGUGUGUACGGACAUCACACUUUUGACAUACCUAAUACGCAUAAUUAUGUUGUUCCACGUAAAAAGACGAGGCAAUUCCGAGUUUGCUCUAAUUUGCCAAUUAUAAAUAAGACGCACAGAAAGGACACAUACAGGCAGACCAGAUGACAUACGUGGCAAUCUCACUCAUACACAUCGUCCAAUUUAAUGUUUCUAUUAUUCCACGCUAUGAUUGUACGAUCUCAAAAGAAACUAAAUAGAACCUUUAGAUGAAA